CUGCACAUUGCAGAUGGCUUCAUUAUGUGUAUUUAAUUUCAGUACUUAAGCAAACAUACAAAAGUAGGGCUUACAAACUGCUUUAGGAUACGACGGUUAUGUACAGUCAAAUGAAACGGAAACAAAACGGAAACAACUGAUACUCCUUGGGCUGGAGACAAAGACUGUAAAGAAAUCCAAGAAGAGUAACCCAGCACAAAAGCCUGAACUCUUUGACCUCUCAGGCCUUGGGCUUGGACAAUUGGCCAAGCUGGGCUUUUUCCUGAGAACUGCCCGAGGGCAAAGGCUGAGAAAAGAUGCACAUUGUUCAUGGCACCAUCCAUUAAAGGCAAGGGCUGAAAGGCAAAAGGAUCUUUCCAGGUUAUAGCAGAGCUGAGAAUGCAGCCUGACACUCAUUUUCAAGCAUGAGUGUCUCCUUUUCAAGAUAGAUCUAGCCUGGAGCAGAAAAAUACCACCAGCCUGCAGCAGGAAAAAGGAGACAGUGAAUGUUUCCCACUGAAAUAUACAGUCAUCUUCUCAAAAGGAUUAACUUCUUCAUCAGCAUCUUAGAACUCAAAGUGAGCCUUCACCUUCACACCAGAGGCUCAUGUGCUUUCAAACCAUUUGAGAUUCCACUUCUGCUCAUCUGUAGGCACAUGUGACACAAAGUGUGAUCUGCCUGUGUCUUUAUCAUGAAUCAUUUACAUUCCUCUGCACAGCAUAAAGCACUCAAGCUAGAGAUGCUCCACACUUGUUUUGUGUAUGAUAAGGGUUUAUGCACUCCCUGGCUCAGACUUUAGGAAAAGAAAUUUUUUAUAAUUGGUUUACUCCAGAGGAGAUUUGGGAGGAGUUAGACAUUAAGA